rnacentral:rRNA from 1 species
AUUGAACGCUGGCGGCAGGCCUAACACAUGCAAGUCGAGCGAGCGGCGGACGGGUGAGUAAGGUAUGGGGACUGCCCGAUAGAGGGGGAUAACUACUGGAAACGGUAGCUAAUACCGCAUACUAUCGGAUAACCCAUAUGGGAUUAGCUAGUAGGUGAGGUAAUGGCUCACCUAGGCAACGAUCCGUAGCUGGUUUGAGAGGACGACCAGCCACCCUGGGCCUGAGACACGGCCCAGACUCCUACGGAUGCAGCAGUGGGGAAUUUUUGCCAAUGGGCGAAACCCUGAUCCAGCCAUCCCGCGUGUAUGAUGACGGCCUUCGGGUUGUAAAGUACUUUUGGCAGUGCAGCGGUAUCUGCAGAAUAAGCACCGGCUAACUACGUGCCAGCCGCCGCGGUAAUAC